rnacentral:rRNA from 1 species
GCUGGCGGCGUGCUUAACACAUGCAAGUCUACGAGAAUAAGGUAGCAAUAUCUUUAGUAAAGUGGCGCACGGGUGAGUAACACGUAAGUAAUCUACCCUUAGAUUUGGAAUAACCCCGAGAAAUCGGGGCUAAUACCAAAUAAUGCAGCGGCAUCGCAUGAUGAUGUUGUUAAAGUCUAUAUGACGUCUAGGGAUGAGCUUGCGUCUGAUUAGCUAGUUGGUGAGGUAACAGCUCACCAAGGCUGCGAUCAGUAGCUGGUCUGAGAGGAUGAUCAGCCACACUGGAACUGAGACACGGUCCAGACUCCUACGGGAGGCAGCAGUGAGGAAUAUUGGGCAAUGCCCGAAAGGGUGACCCA